GUCAAAUUUGUCUAGAGGGAGUAUCUUAAGUCAUGUUCAGUAACAUCAUCUUUUCUACGUUCUGGUUAUAAUGUGCUUUUAGUAUUACGUGUAUUAUGGAGGCUAAAUCUUUAGUUUUGGGAUGUUUUCUUUCGUUCGUGACCAUUUUAGUUUUGUUUGCAACACCAACUGAAGCUGGUGAAUGUUGCCGUUAUCGAAGUUUUUUGUAUGGCCGCCGGACACAUGACUCCAGAUGGUGUCCAGUUUUCUGUUGUUACUUUCGGUUAUCUGGGACUUAUGGCUGUUGUGGUGACAUUGGAAUGAGAGCACCAUACCAUGACAGAUCGGCUUUCUGUAAAGAUUGGUUUACAUUCAGAUCAAACUUGUGGGCGCCUAUCUUAAUAGCUAUAAUUGCACUACUUAUUUUACUGUGUGCCGUAUUCGCUUGUUGUCAUCUAUGUUGUUUUUGUUUCUAACCAUGUA